UAAUGAUGGUGAUGAUGAUGGUGAUGAUGGUGGUGGUGAUAAUGACGGUGGUGAUGGAGGUGAUGAUGAUGAUGGUGGUGAUUAUGAUGAUGAUGGUGAUGUGGUCAUGGUGGCGAUCAUGAUGUUGAUGAUGGUGAUGACGAUGAUGAUGAUGGUGAUGGUGAUGGUAGUGAUGAUGACAGUGGUGAUGGAGGUGAUGAUGAUGACGAUGAACUGAGCACUUGUUAUAUGCUAAGGUCUGUCCCAGACAGGGAUACCACAGUGAGCGAGACAAAUGUGGUCCCUGCUCUUCUGGGAAUCAGUCCUACUGAGGGUAAAGCCAGUGAAUAAAUAAACUGAUUAAUAUAUAAAGUCCCGUCACAGAAGGAAGAGCUAGAGAACCACGUGAUGGGUGGGGCGCCCCGGAAGACCUCUUGGAGGGGGCGACAUUUGGAUGCAGUGGGAGACAUGGGUGUUGAGGACAGCCCCUCUCCCUCUUUCCCCUCUAUGCCCAUUCUGGCUGCAUUUUGACCUUUAGCCGGGAGCCUGAAUCUACGGCAGUCUUUGUCACUUGCUACAUCUGUGGUCUUGGACCUGUUUCCCCUCCGUGGGAGUUGGCUGUCCCAUCUGUACAGUGUGUGUAUGCGUGGGGUGCAGCCAGACACCCCCUCGGUGCCUUCCAUCUCUGGGAUCCCAGCAUCCGGAGCUGGUGCUCAUGGCCUCGAUCCGCCAUGGAGUAAUUGGCAAAAACGGUCGGCAUGAGGGGCCCUCUCCGGGUCAGGCCCCUCGGAAGGGUCGAACAGUUCACUUCCCAGCAGCUCUCUGCGGCUUACCUGAGACGGAGCUGGCUCCAGGAGCAAUUUCCCCUGGAAGAAACAAUCUUCGGAAUCCAUCGUAUAUCAUUCGCUAUGACGUCUUCUGUUUAAACAGCGGCAGCCGGUGGAGGGUGUGCGCUGAGGCUGCGUGUCCAGGAGGAGGGGGCUCGCGUCCCAGCCCCCUGCUCCAGCCCUGUGGAAGGCCCCGCUUAGGGGGAAAGCGGGCAUAUGGAACCCAUUUGGGAAAUUCUUUCUGCAUAAACCACUCUUUCCAGCUGUCUGAGCACAGACGCCCCUGAUGGAGCUGGAUAAAGCCCCAAGAAGAGCUUGAUCUUGGAGCAAAGGGCCCCAGUGUGCCAGCCUUUGUGGGUCCCCAUGUGCGAGAAAGGAUGUCUGCGUUCGUGUUCUCUGGCCAGCAGAUGAGAGGGAAGGACCGAGCCACAGCCGUCCCCUCCCCAGCACACAGCCCCUGGCCCCGACCAAGCACGCAUCCACUUCUUUGGGGACAAGCAGAUUUUUCAAACAAAGUUUGCCAAAUAAGCACAUUUUGGUUUUUUUUCCCUCCAGGGCAGAUGCAAACGGUC
rnacentral:lncRNA from 1 species